UACCGAGGUCCCAAGCGUUGUUCGGAUUCAUUGGGCGUAAAGGGUGCGUAGGCGGCACGGUAAGUCGGGUGUGAAAUCUCGGGGCUUAACUCCGAAACUGCAUUCGAUACUGCCGUGCUUGAGGACUGGAGAGGAGACUGGAAUUUACGGUGUAGCGGUGAAAUGCGUAGAUAUCGUAAGGAAGACCAGUGGCGAAGGCGGGUCUCUGGACAGUUCCUGACGCUGAGGCACGAAGGCCAGGGGAGCAAACGGG
rnacentral:rRNA from 1 species